rnacentral:rRNA from 1 species
GACGAACGCUGGCGGCGUGCUUAACACAUGCAAGUCACGGGGGCCCGCAAGGGUAACCGGCGAACGGGUGCGUAACACGUGAGCAAGCUUCCGAUUAGUGGGGGAUAGCCGGCCCAACGGCCGGGUAAUACCGCAUACGUUCACUGGACGGCAUCGUCUGGUGAGGAAACCUCCGGGGCUAAUCGAGGCGCUCGCGGCCUAUCAGCUAGUUGGCGGGGUAAUGGCCCACCAAGGCUAUGACGGGUAGCUGGUCUGAGAGGAUGGCCAGCCACAUUGGGACUGCGACACGGCCCAGACUCCUACGGGAGGCAGCAGUGGGGAAUAUUGCGCAAUGGACGAAAGUCUGACGCAGCGACGCCGCGUGUAGGAUGACGCCUUUCGGGGUGUAAACUACUGUUGCCCGGGACGAAACUCCUUUUUCGAGAGGACUGACGGUACCGGGUGAGGAAGCACCGGCUAACUCUGUGCCAGCAGCCGCGGUAAGAC